UUUGUAAAUUUACCCACGUGUCCCUCGUUGCUCCACCUUAUUCCUUCUGUUUUUCUGCUUUUUGUUUCACUGUGCACAACGCUGCCCAUGCGUCCUCAUCCGUGUGCCUUUUUGUUGGAUUUUCUUCCUGCUAUACGUGUGUUGCUCAUCCUGAAACGGAAGAAAGAUGGAAAAGCAGGGCCCUUCCAUUUGCUUCCACAGAUUUCUCGACCUCUCUCAGAGGCUCCAAAUCCCUAGCCUCCGCAAGAAGGGGUUUUACAGGAAGUGAUAUAUACUGAUUUUUUGGGUUUUACAGUUAUAAUGUUAUCAAAUUCCUUUUUUUUUUUUUUGUUUUUUCAAAUUUUCUGAUUCGGUAUAAUCUCAUCAAAUUCUUUCUUUUUUCUUUUUCUUUUUUUUUUAAUUUUCUGAUUCAGGUAUAAUGUCAUCAAAUUCUGGAUGACGUGCAUCCAGACAUCAGUUUGGUAAAGGUGUUAUACUAGCAGAAGUACUUAUGAAAGUUUUUAUGAUGGACCCAUAAGGCAUGGAAAAACCUUGAUCAGUGCCCUCAAAGAAAGGAUAAGAGUGGAUCAGCGUUUAUAAUUGCGAAGUGUCACGAAUCUCAGUACAAGCUACCCAACUCUGGGCACUGGAUAUGCCUCUUUGCAUGCACGACAAACAUUCGCUAAGUUGUGCAUUAUAAGCAUUUGUCCGUGGCAAAAUCUUACAACCAUCUAUACUUUAUCAUGCAUCACAUUUUGCCUAAUGUGACUAAUCAAUUUUGUGCAUCCGAACCAAGUAAAUUGUACAAUGCAUGAACCGCUUAUAACCACUGGCGGAGGCAUCAAGGGACCAUGGUGGUCUUUGGCCUAUCGUGAUCUUGAAAAAAACAUAUAUAUGUGUGUUUGUCUACCCAUUUCUGUUGCUGUAAAACCCUCCUAUUGUUCAACACUUCAGAUAAAUUCAAUCAUUAUCUCUUGUUAUGGUC